GGUAACCGGUAUCCUGUAUGCGGCAAUGGGUCACUUACAAAAAGCAUAAAUCAUAGAAUUGAAUGUUAGCUUACAUACAGAACAGACUGGAUGGAAGAAUUGUGCAGGUACUUCUAAUUCAACUUUGAAAAUGAGAAUUUAUUAAUACAGAACUACAUCCAUUGAUUACAAACAAAGAAAAUUUGCUAAAAACAAGAAUUACGAAUUUUACAUUCUAUAACAGUUAAACUGUCAACAGAUUGUAUGCUGGUAAAUCUUUCACACUAUAGACAUCUUCAAGGGCAAGCUCACGUUCUAACUGCAUCCUUGUAGACUUCAAAACAUCAUUAAAUUCCAUGUACGAAGCACGCUUUGCAAGCCAUUGAGCAUCCAUCAUUUGAAAGGCUACACAAUAGAGGUUGUCAAAUGCCAUUUCAUCUUCUGCAAGUAAUUCUACAAAUUUGAUUCCUGCUAGAGUGGAUGGCUUCCCAGUUUGAAGAUCCAACAUUUGCACCAACAUAAAGGAAAUGUUUAUGCCAGCCACAGCAAAUGGAUACUCCCACUCAGCUCUGGUUCCAUCUUUCUUAUGUAACAAUCUCUGGAAUGAGUCCUGUUGACCAAAUACCAAACAUCAUUAGUUGGUAUUAGAACUAGCAAAAAUGGUACGAAUUUGCACAGGCUAGCAUUCAAAUGCAAUUGUGUAUUCCAUAUAAAGUGGCCCCAUGGCCUCAUACUGAUGGACUAAGACUCACGCAUGUUAGGCAAUGCAAGGGUGACUGGCAAUUUUUCAAAUGAUUGAAAUAAUAUAGGAUAAUAAUGAUAAACAGCUCAUCAAAAGUAAAGGAACAAACCGGAUACUUCUUUGCAAAAAAGAUUAGAUUCUCCAAUGAUAUAAAUCCACCACCCCUUCAUAUAGCAUGGAAAAAUUUUGCAUCAAUAUAUUUUUGAAGGGGAGAAUGAACUCAGAAUAAUACCAAAUUCAUAAUCAGUUCCACACAAAAUCUUCUACAUACCGAAAAUCAGUAGAGGGGUCUGAACCUUGCCAGCCCAUCUCCUUCCAAAGCUCAGAUUUAAGAGAUGGAAGCUCCCUACCAGGAUAAGCCAAUCCCCACAAUUGUUUAAGUGCAUCUUGAUGCUCCGCUUGAGAACCAUCAAAAGGUACUCCCAGCCUUUGCUGCAGAUUUCUGAGUCUUUCUUCCUGUAAAGGACUAAGAUAAGGAUGAAGAAGAUUCCUGCUUGAUCCACUUUGACCAGCAAAAGGUAAAAGCCGUCCGAUAAGUGAUCUGGAACCUAGGACAAUAUUUGCUAACCAUUGUGCCCACUCCGCAAUCAACUGUGAUAAUAUCAACGUCCAGUGGAUGCCUUCCCUCCUCUGUUCAGCAUUCCAAAUAUCUUCUAUUGUGAGUCCCUGUAACAUAGCAAAGUAUUGAUUCCCAUAUAUCUAUUCCCUUCCACAGUAGGUCUACAAACAACAGGAAAAAACCCUCACUACUGUAGGCAUAUCAUCGUGUUCGCGAGUACCAAGUAGAGGUUCGCUCAAGCCAUCAUAACCUGACGAGUCAAAAUGCUCUUCCCUUUUUCCAUCAACAUCCCCAUGAUGAAGUCUCCUCCUCAAAGUUCUUGCCGACAUGAAUCAAAUUUAAUCCUUGAUAAAGAUUACACUCAAAUACAUUAAAACCCAACAAGUAAAACAAAAUAUACUCCUUCGUUAACCAAAAUUUAGUGAUAGUUCUGAGAAAUAUAAAAACCCCAAAUAAAGAAUUGACAAAAAAUGGUAAAAGGAACUACAAGAAAAACAUUAUAUAUAUAUACACUAAUGGCUCGGCAAAACGUAAUGCCAUGAAUUGAACAAAUUCUUAGCAAAAUCUUCCUAACUUCCGUCUAGAAAAAAACACAAAAAGCAAAUCUCAAAAGAAAACCUUACACAGAAUCCAAAACAAUCAAAAGUGAAACCAAAAGCCAAGUUUCAAUCAUUUAAUGUGAUAAGCCCCAAUUCACAAAUCCAGCAACUACCCAUUACCCAACACCAAUAAGCACACAUGGUAUAUGGAACAUAAAAAGGCAAAAUUUAAUAAAACAGGAGAAAGAAAAGCACCAAAUCUCGAAAUGGAAUCGAUGCGAGCCAAUUCAUCAACCAGAAGCCUCAAGUACGCAAGGCAUGCGUAUAUAAAGCAGCAGCACGAAACCCUUCGAUAUUAAGGAAUCGAAGAGAAAGCGCAAUUAUUAAUUCCAAUUCAAGCAUAUAUUAUAUAUCAAAAAUGAAAAUAUUGAGGGAAGAGAAAUUAAAUUGUGUUAGUGAGGAUUGGGUCUCUUGCACCUCUCUCUGUAUCACCUUCCUCGAAGCAGAGAAGGGUAAUGCAGACAAUUGGGAGACCUGAGAUCCGAAGCCCGAAUCCACCUAAAAAUCACCCAAUCAGAUUCUCUUUUUUCUUUUUUCAGAUUUAAAACUUCUUUUUUCUUGAAAUAUUAAAAGUUCG
rnacentral:misc_RNA from 1 species